CCCUGGCUGACUCAGUCAGUAGAGCACAUGACUCUUGAUCUUGAGGUUGUGAGUUCAAGCCCCAUGUUGGGAG
rnacentral:tRNA from 1 species